rnacentral:rRNA from 1 species
GACGGGACCCGCACAAGCAGCGGAGCGUGUGGUUUAAUUCGAUGCUACACGAAGAACCUUACCAAGGUUUGACAUGUAAGUGGUAGUGAUCUGAAAAGUGAACGACCCUUCGGGGAGCUUACACAGGUGCUGCAUGGCUGUCGUCAGCUCGUGUCGUGAGAUGUUCGGUUAAGUCCGCUAACGAGCGCAACCCUCACUGUGUGUUACAUGUGUCACACGGGACUGCCGGUUUUAAGCCGGAGGAAGGCGAGGAUGACGUCAAGUCAGCAUGGCCUUUAUAUCUUGGGCUACACACACGCUACAAUGGUCUGUACAAUAGGUUGCCAAGCCGCGAGGCGGAGCCAAUCCUUAAAGCAGGCCUCAGUUCAGAUUGCAGGCUGCAACCCGCCUGCAUGAAGAUGGAGUUGCUAGUAACCGCAGGUCAGCUAUACUGCGGUGAAUACGUUCCCGGGUCUU